rnacentral:rRNA from 1 species
UACGGAAGGUGCGAGCGUUAAUCGGAAUUACUGGGCGUAAAGCGCACGUAGGCGGCUUGGUAAGUCGGAUGUGAAAGCCCCGGGCUCAACCUGGGAACUGCAUUCGAUACUGCUGGGCUAGAGUACGAAAGAGGGGGGUGGAAUUCCAGGUGUAGCGGUGAAAUGCGUAGAGAUCUGGAGGAACACCGGUGGCGAAGGCGGCCCCCUGGUUCGAUACUGACGCUGAGGUGCGAAAGCGUGGGGAGCAAACAGG